GGAGGCUUAGCUCAGCUGGUUAGAGCGCCUGCUUCACACGCAGGAGGUCACUGGUUCAAGUCCAGCAGUCUCCACCA
rnacentral:tRNA from 2 species